GACGUAGGGGGCGAGCGUUGUCCGGAAUCAUUGGGCGUAAAGCGCGUGUAGGCGGUCCGGUAAGUCCGCUGUGAAAGUCGGGGGCUCAACCCUCGGAUGCCGGUGGAUACUGUCGGGCUUGAGUACGGAAGAGGCGAGUGGAAUUCCUGGUGUAGCGGUGAAAUGCGCAGAUAUCAGGAGGAACACCAGUGGCGAAGGCGACUUACUGGACACAUAUUGACGCUGAGGUGCGAAAGCGUGGGGAGCAAACAGG
rnacentral:rRNA from 1 species